GACGAACGCUGGCGGCGUGCUUAACACAUGCAAGUCGAACGGAAAGGCCCUGCUUUUGUGGGGUGCUCGAGUGGCGGACGGGUGAGUAACACGUAAGUAACCUGCCCUUGUCUUUGGGAUAACUUCAGGAAACUGGGGCUAAUACCGGAUAGGAGCUCCUGCUGCAUGGUGGGGGUUGGAACGUUUCGGCGGUUGGGGAUGGACUCGCGGCUUUUCAGCUUGUUGGUGGGGUAGUGGCUUACCAAGGCUUUGACGGGUAGCCGGCCUGAGAGGGUGACCGGCCACAUUGGGACUGAGAUACGGCGCAGACUCCUACGGGAGGCAGCAGUGGGGAAUAUUGCACAAUGGGCGGAAGCCUGAUGCAGCAACGCCGCGUGCGGGAUGACGGCCUUCGGGUUGUAAACCGCUUUCGCCUGUGACGAAGCGUGAGUGACGGUAAUGGGUAAAGAAGCACCGGCUAACUACGUG
rnacentral:rRNA from 1 species